UACGAAGGGGGCUAGCGUUGUUCGGAAUUACUGGGCGUAAAGCGCACGUAGGCGGACUAUUAAGUCAGGGGUGAAAUCCCGGGGCUCAACCCCGGAACUGCCUUUGAUACUGGUAGUCUCGAGUCCGGAAGAGGUGAGUGGAAUUCCGAGUGUAGAGGUGAAAUUCGUAGAUAUUCGGAGGAACACCAGUGGCGAAGGCGGCUCACUGGUCCGGUACUGGACGCUGAGGAGCGAAAGCGUGGGGAGCGAACGAGG
rnacentral:rRNA from 1 species